UGUAUUUCAGGCAAGUGCUUCGGUUUCCGCAGCUUAUGCAGUACCUCUAUUCUCUGCUGUGUGUGUCUGUGCGUGUCUGUGCGUGUGCGUGUGUGUGUGUGUGAAAAUAAACUAUUACUACAUUUUGGGAUGGAAGCUUGUGACGUUUGCUGCUGAUGGUCAGCUGGUCUGUUGAGGGAGCUUCUCUCGCCCAACGGACCAGAAGCAAGUUACCUCCUCGGACUGUGGAGACCAAGGAGGAGGAACUUUUAGGGGAAGAAUCUAAGAGGACAAACGGGGGGAAACGGGUUUGAAGCUGCUUCAUUCGACCCUUCUAUCAGAGAAAAGUAACUGCAGAACAAAAGAAAGUGAAAGCAAACAAGAGGCUGAAAGUGAGACGGUGAAGGAAAGGGUUUGACCAGAGCCGAAGCAGCCUGAAGAUGGAGGAGAAGACCUGGAGACGAUCACAUGACGAUAAAGAUCAGGAGGAGGGAGCUACACAAACAAUGCCCCCCCUCCUCGGCCCUGCAGGCCACAACAAUGGCGUCAGCACAGUGGAGCCACAUCGGCGCUUUGCUAGAUUUCUCUCUGGCUCGUUUCAGCGGCACAAAGGGGGGGGGUUGUUGUUGUUGUUUUCGUGGCGGUCAGCAGGUCGCGACUCGUAUCAACACACAAAGGUCGCGCUGCCCUUCGGCGUAAAGAAAACAAAUAAACAGGCCUGUAGCCGCCCUGAGGAGCGUCUCUGGUGCCAGGCUUCGGCCACGUGGUGAAGACGACCUCGGGGGUGUGGGGGGGUCAAAGGUCACAAGGGGUUUCCUCUUGUUGCUCUGGAGGCCCUGAAGAUGUUCGGAUGAGAGCAAAAGUUCAGAAGGGGACUCUGCUGUAGUUUUAUACAUAUUGAAUAUUAUUUGUUUAACAGACUGUUGUCCCCCCGUCCCCCCCCCCAGGUUUCCCAAGGGGACGCUACUGAGAAGCUGGCUCACCAAGUCGCGGCCCCGGUUGCUGCUGCUCAUCGCCGGGUUGAAGAGGCCUCAGGUGACCCUCAUGAGGAGGAAAAGGAUGAAGCGCACAAAAGUAGCAAAGGCCACGUAAGCGGACCUGCAGCCGAGAUGCCCCCACUUCACCUGAAGACCCCGCCGGGGCGAAUCCACGCGGACAUGCAGGAGGCCCCCGCGGGCCCCGUCGUCGCCCCCCCGGCAACGCGCUCAAACCCAGGAGCCGCAAAGCAGACGGAAGCCGGGGGGCCGACCACAGAGAUUGAGACCUCCAGAUUAAUCCGGAUUACGACCCCCCCCCGCCUGCUUCCAUCAUCCAUCGUCGGAACCGCGCAGACUCGUGCGUCGCUCCCAGGCGAAGAGCGACUUUCCCCGCGUGGUCCAAGCCGAGACCCCGACAGCUUCGUGUUCACCCAAGAGUCCAAACCAGCCGCUGAUUAGACGCCGACUGCGGCUGCGUGUCAUCGUUCCACCCGCCGUCGAACAGCUUGACAGGAAGACGCUCGUCACUGUUCAGUAGACGUGAAGGACUUCAUUUUAUUGCUGUAUUUGUCACGAGCGUCGACUCGGCAGCAGAGGCACCGAGCCGAGAUCCUCCGUUCGCUGAUGUUCCGCUGAGCUUUUUGUGGGCCGAAGGCCCCAAACGCAAAUAUCAUUAGUUAGUUAACUGGGGAGAGAUUUGCACUGCAGAACGGCGGCCUAACGUGCGCUUAAAAUCUGAUUCAUCUGAAGUAUUUCAUGGUUGAAAUAAAAUGGAAACACGUUAUUUUGACCCGG